rnacentral:rRNA from 1 species
UACAGAGGUCUCAAGCGUUGUUCGGAUUCAUUGGGCGUAAAGGGUGCGUAGGUGGCGCCGUAAGUCGGGUGUGAAAUCUCGAGGCUUAACUCCGAAACUGCAUUCGAUACUGCGGUGCUUGAGGACUGGAGAGGAGACUGGAAUUCAUGGUGUAGCAGUGAAAUGCGUAGAGAUCAUGAGGAAGACCAGUGGCGAAGGCGGGUCUCUGGACAGUUCCUGACACUGAGACACGAAGGCCAGGGGAGCAAACGGG